rnacentral:lncRNA from 1 species
GAAUAUGUGAGUGAGAGUGAGAAUAUAUGUGUGUGAGAGUAAGAAUAUAUGUGUGUGAGAGAGAAAGAAUAGUGGAAACGGAUGUAGGUAUAGUGGAAACGGAAGGCAGGUCUUUUGCUGCGCUGUGAUUGGCUGAGAAGAAGGGGCAGGUCACGUUCAGGUCCCGACCGAGUAUGGAAGGAGGGAAUGAAGCAGUAGUACUUCAACAGGCAAUUGGAGUAUUAAGAAAUAUCCUCUCAUCCCCUGAAACUGUCGCUUCCCUGUCAUCGACCCUAGUACAGGACACGACCCGUGCAAAUGCAGUCACGCACAGCUCAUGCAUAGAAAGUGAAAUGAGAGAACUUUUCAGGCCUGGUAGCUCCCAGGUCGGAUUAGCAAGAGAGGCGGCGGCUACACAAGGACAAACUGGAGGAUUGCAGCGGCCUUUGCGAUAUCAAACCCAGAAACAUUUUGGCAAUUGGUGUACCCGGUCACGAAAAAGGCCCAGAACACAUUAUCAUGACACUUUUAACAAAGAUGUCAUCCUUCUUCCCAGACCAUCAAGCAGUGUUGUCGUCAGGCAUCGUGCAAAGCAACAGCUACAUGAACAAGGACAUAUACUCAAUGGAUUUGAAUUCCAGAAAUCUUGGAACCAGACAACAGUAACUGAACAAAUGAGGGAGGCCUUUGGGGGAAAACUCUCAGCUGAUAUAAAUCUAGAGUUUCUGAUGGCAUGUGGAAACAAUCUGAUUUUACCAAAACUGCGUGCUGGACAGGAACUGGAUGCUAAUCUUAUACACAAAAUCUACAAAUCAAAAGCCCUAUACAUCAGGCCAUCAAAGCCAAUUUUGGAUGACAUUACAGGUAAUACAAGCGAGGACAGCUAUGAUGAAAACACCAGUUCUGCAAUGGAGCUGCGUUCUUCAUCUCAGACAGAGAGGCACUCAAAUGCAUCUUUUGGCAGUUUGACCAGUCCGAUUGAUGCCGCUCCAUCAAAUUCUACUCCAGUUGUUCUACCUGUGUCAGUGCCCUCGUCUAGCCACAGCAGCAUGUCAGCAAGUGGUUCCUCAAGUCAGCUGCAGGUGUCUUCAGUGGAAAACUGCUAUACUGCCAUUCAGCCUUCUGCCACAUCUUUUGAAGGAAUAUCUUUAGUUGAUUCACCUCUGGUCUUGUCCGGCCAAAAUAGGUCAAGCCCUCUCAAUCACAGCAGCAAUUUACAAAGUACUUGUUCUGCAGUACCAUCCACUUCCUCCACCUCAGCAUAUCAUAAUUCGGCAAACUAUGAUGGCUACCUUACAGUAAUAGGUGCACUGUCUGAUGUGUCUUCUGAAGAUGAGGAAAUGCACCAGGCUAUCCUAGCAAGCUUGCAGAGUGAGAGAAGGACCACAGGAUGUUCUGUGCCAGUGAGAGAUAUUUUGCAAGACCUUGCAACUCAAAUUAACCAUCAGAAGAAAUGCAAGUUUAACAUUAACCGGUCAUCAGUGCUGGAUGGAGCUAUUAGAGGUUUUAAACGAGGGACAUACAAUCCAUGUCACACCAUUUCUGUCAGAUUUUCUGAUGACAUGGGAGUAGCAGAAGAGGCUGUGGACUUAGGUGGACCAAGGAGAGAAUUUCUAAGACUUCUAAUGGAUGCUUUGUCCAAGUCUCAAAUGUUUGAGGGAGAAGAAGGGAAAAUGAACUUGGCUUUUGACAGUAACGGUAUGUAUAGAUUGUAGCAUAUCAUUGAUGAGAUUCACAUAAUAACCACAAUUUGUGCUUACAUUUUGGUACUAUGAAAUAGGUUUUUGUCAUUGAAUGCUUGAAUACACUAUUACUUAUGUGUAAUUUCUUUUCUCUAGCCAUGAGGGAGGACAGGUACUUAGUUGCAGGCAGGGCCAUUGCUGUAAGCCUUGUUCACGGCGGUCCUCCUGCACGUUUUCUUUCCCCAACUCUCUUCUCUUGCCUUGUUGAGGGCCCGGAAAUGGCUAAACCAGUUUUGGAAGAUGUUGCUGAUAGUGACCUGCAUGAAAAAAUUAAAAGGGUAUCUCACUUUUAGUUUAUGUUGUGCUGUAUAAUAUGUGUGCCUUUUUUAUACAACACAUUUUUGUAUGCAUGUGUGUCUUGAAAGGUCAUGGAGUGUGAAACUUUUGAAGACCUCCUAGCAACAACAGCACCACUUGAGGAGUAUUUGGCCAAUGCGGGCUGCUUGAGACAGUUGCGGAGUUUGGAAGACAAAUAUCUGCUUGCAGAAGACAUCCUAAUGUUUCAAGUGAUACACAGAGUCCGUGGUCCUUUUGAGAGGUACAUUUUUAUCUUUUUUUGUGAA